UACGAAGGGGGCUAGCGUUGUUCGGAAUUACUGGGCGUAAAGCGUGCGUAGGCGGAUAGCCAAGUCAGGGGUGAAAUCCUGGAGCUCAACUCCAGAACUGCCUUUGAUACUGAAGAUCUCGAGUCCGGGAGAGGUGAGUGGAACUGCGAGUGUAGAGGUGAAAUUCGUAGAUAUUCGCAAGAACACCAGUGGCGAAGGCGGCUCACUGGCCCGGUACUGACGCUGAGGCACGAAAGCGUGGGGAGCAAACAGG
rnacentral:rRNA from 1 species